AUCCAUCUGACGAGUCCCAAAUAGGACGAAACGAAUAGUAUGUAA
rnacentral:hammerhead_ribozyme from 1 species